ensembl:lncRNA
GUCCCGGGCCGUGUCCCCGUGCGGGACCGGGCCGUGUCCUGUUGCGGGCCCGGGAUGGGCAGGAGCGGAGCCCCCGCUGCUCCCGGCUCUCCGGAGCAGUUGGAGGUGGUCGCUCACUGUGACAUUUCUUCCCUCACCAUCAGGAGUUUUAGGUAAAUCAAACACUGGGGACACUUGGAGUGAGGGCACUUCUGGGCACAAUCAAGUUCCACUUUAGCUCUAAAUGAGCUUUUGAUUUGUUUUGUGCCCCUGAGCUGGCUCUGCCCCCAGCCGUGCCGCUCCCUGCGCUAACCUGUUUAUGAUCUCUGGCAGUACGGUGGUGCUUGAGUGGAGGCUGUUGAGGGAGUUCCACGGCAGCGGUGCCCAGACACGUUUAUGCUCUGCUACAUUGGCCGUAGCGUGCGCAGAGGCACGUGUGGCUACUGGCACGGGACAGAUCUGUCACCAGAGCCAACACAAGGCUCUUCUGGGCACUUCAGACAAGUGCCACUGGCUCUGGCUUCAGCAGCCCGCCUCUGUGUGCUCAGAAGCAUCUUUGCCCACGCUCAUCCCCUGGAUACCACGGAGAACCAGGAUAUCGGGAGUCCUUUCAUUCAGUCCAUAAACACAUCUCAGUUCUUUGCCUCCCGUGUCUUUCUGCGCUGACACCAGGAGUUGGAAACCAUCGGGAACCUGCAUGUUUCUAUCCAAUAAUGUUUGUUUCUGAAGGGCAGAAUGAAAAAGAAACAGUUGGUACAAUUCAACAGCUCUAAGUGGACUGUAAUCCCAGCACGGUCAAGAUGGUGAUACAUGGAAAUCUCAGAAUCCAGAUCUUUUCUGCAGCACAUGUUCCUGUCCCUCUAAAAUCACAUCUGUGGCUCCUUCCACAUGCCUCACAGCAUGUGGACUGCUGGUGGUGCACAGUCAGCCAGCAUUGCCACCAACAAGUGCUCCUCAGGGAAAAAUACACCUGUACAGGAGCAGAAUGAAAGGAUCUCUGAGGCCAGAGCAGAAAAUUAGUGCCACUAACAACUCAUGUGGAUUGCAAAGCUUUAGUAUCAAAUCCAGGCUGAAGAUUACUUGUUUGUUUGCCUUGCAUGCCACAUGCAUAAUUCCUCUUUGGAAUUGUGUUUACAGUAAUAGAUGGCCCUGGAGAGAUGUAAUUCAUGUGAUAAUGCCGACAUCAGAAAUCUCCAGGUGCAGCUGGAAUGAUUUAUAUUGGCCUCUUUAUAGAACCAAGCCCCAUGAAUUAUUUACAAUUUUCUGAGAAAAAUAGAUUUAGUAUGUCUUAGGGCUGGCAGUUCUCCAUGGGAGCUGCGCUCCGUCCGCCUGUGCAGCACAGGAGCAGUGGGAGCAGGAGGAUGCAGCAGCUCCUGCGAGUGGUGCACGCAGGAGCAGCAGCUGCCCUGCUGGGGCAGGGGCUGGCUGGCACCUGGGCACGGGGGCAAUGUGAGGCUGGGCCAGAUCUCCAGUGGCUGCCUCACCGCUUCCCUGGAAAUUCCAGGCACCCCUGUACAAAAGCGUUACCUGAACGUUGCCCUGUGUUUCACAAGGAGUCUUCAGAAAGUGCCGGUAAAACACCUGGUGAAACACUCACCUGGUGAAAGCUCUGCCAUCCCCACUCCUUGCAGCCAUUCUACACUGCCAAAGCUCAGCCAUUUCCAGUAUUUGUGGCUGUUCUUUGUUUCGCUGCUGGACUUAACUGUACCAGCUCUUACCCAAAUAUUGGAGAGAUGCUACUUAGAAGGUCACUGUAACAUGCCAGUAGAGAGACUUUACCCUGUAAAUCCCUCACACUUUUAAUAAUCUACUGACAGCAGACACAAAGAGAAUCCAAAUAAACCAUGAUCUUCCCAAAUACA